rnacentral:rRNA from 1 species
UGGGGAAUAUUGCACAAUGGGCGCAAGCCUGAUGCAGCCAUGCCGCGUGUAUGAAGAAGGCCUUCGGGUUGUAAAGUACUUUCAGCGGGGAGGAAGGCGAUAAGGUUAAUAACCUUGUCGAUUGACGUUACCCGCAGAAGAAGCACCGGCUAACUCCGUGCCAGCAGCCGCGGUAAUACGGAGGGUGCAAGCGUUAAUCGGAAUUACUGGGCGUAAAGCGCACGCAGGCGGUCGGUCAAGUCGGAUGUGAAAUCCCCGGGCUCAACCUGGGAACUGCAUUCGAAACUGGCAGGCUAGAGUCUUGUAGAGGGGGGUAGAAUUCCAGGUGUAGCGGUGAAAUGCGUAGAGAUCUGGAGGAAUACCGGUGGCGAAGGCGGCCCCCUGGACAAAGACUGACGCUCAGGUGCGAAAGCGUGGGGAGCAAACA